UGCAGUCGAGCGAUGAAGCACCUUCGGGUGUGAAUUAGCGGCGAACGGGUGAGGAACACGUGAAGAAUCUGCCUUCAACUCUGGGAUAACUCCGGGAAACCGGGGCUAAUACCGGAUAUGAGCCUUGAUCGCAUGAUCGGGGCUGGAAAGUUUUUCGGUUGAAGAUGACUUCGCGGCCUAUCAGCUUGUUGGUGAGGUAAUGGCUCACCAAGGCGACGACGGGUAGCCGGCCUGAGAGGGCGACCGGCCACACUGGGACUGAGACACGGCCCAGACUCCUACGGGAGGCAGCAGUGGGGAAUAUUGGGCAAUGGAGGAAACUCUGACCCAGCGACGCCGCGUGAGGGAUGAAGGCCUUCGGGUUGUAAACCUCUUUCAGUAGGGAAGAAGCGAAAGUGACGGUACCUACAGAAGAAGCACCGGCUAACUAUGUGCCAGCAGCCGCGGUAAUACAUAGGGUGCAAGCGUUGUCCGGAAUUAUUGGGCGUAAAGAGCUCGUAGGUGGUUCGAUACGUCGGAUGUGAAAAUCAGGGGCUCAACCCCUGACCUG
rnacentral:rRNA from 1 species